UCCUUUCUUUUUUGUCUCAGAUAAUCAACUUAAGGCAUUCGAGAUAGUGAAUAGAUUUCCGUACUAUUAAAUUAAGAACUACUUAUUUUUUUCAAUUUCGUUACAGAUAGUCAACAAAUUUUGUUUAUUGCACGUUGCUUCUAUGGAUGUCAAUUGCUAGCUACAUCAAAUGUAUUGGCUAAUCAGAAAAGUUUGCGGGUAUUGGCUAAGAAAAUUUAAAGCUUUAUUGGUGAGUGGAGAUGUGGAUGUCUCUCUGUAAAAACAUCUUCCUCUUUGAACCGUCACUUGGUGAUUGGAAACAAAAACUCAAAUAUGUCGAGCUGCAUAAAUAUUGUUCUUCUAUAGCUACGAUGGUACAAGUGUGAGAUUGAACUGAGCUUUUGCCAUUCACAAAGACUCUAAUGUGCUUCCAUACAUCGAGAUAAUGAUGUAACAUGAUUUUGUCCUGGUGUUUGAGAUUCGUGUUGCAUGUCCAACUGGUAUUAUUCAAGGCUGAAAUCUGACUCCAACAUACGGUGAAACAAUUUCAGGACACCAUGAUCAAAAGGCUUUGUCGCCAUCAUCGUUUAGAUUGCUAACAACUGAGUACUUUCUCAGCCAAGGGAACAUCUAUUAUGCAAAUGAAUAUUAGGUUUACUGGAUCAAGAUGAUGUAACUUCAUGUAAGAGAACAUUUUUAUUUUCCUUCCUACCACUUCUAAAAGAUUAUCGGUCCAUGUUUUUUUUAAUAAGAAGUUCUAUAGUUGUUUGCUCAAAUAUGUAGCGAGCUUACUCUUAUGUGACAUCACAUUGUCAGUUAAAGUCUAUAUGUCAUUCUUAUGUUUCCUUGA